CCAACAGCCCCACGUUCCUGGAGUUGCUGGAGGAGUUCCCAUCCCUGCAGGUGUCUGCUGGCUUCCUGCUCUCCCUGCUCCCCAUUCUGAAGCCCAGGUUUUACUCCAUCAGCUCCUCCCAGGAUCACACGCCCACAGCGAUCCACCUGACUGUGGCCGUGCUCAUGUACCACACUCGAGAUGGCCAGGGUCCCCUGCACCACGGCGUCUGCAGCACAUGGCUCAACAACUGAAGCCCCAAGACCAAGUGUCCUGCUUUGUGCAGAAUGCCAGCGGCUUCCGGCUCCCCAAGGACCCCUCCCAUCCUUGCGUCCUCAUCGGGCCUGGCACAGGCAUCGCUCCCUUCCUCAGUUUCUGGCAGCAGCGGCUCCAUGACUCCCAGCAAAAGGGUGUGGCUGGAGGCUUCCCAGGUGGGAGGGUACCAGAGGCCAGCGCCUGCCUAGGAGCAGAACCGUAGCCCCACAAACGGUUCCUGGACCUCUCUGGAGGGAAGGCCUCCCAGGUUUGUCUCCCUGUGUGGGGCCUAUGUGGGUGAGAACGGCCGCCUUCCUGUCUCCGGCAUUGGAACCGGGGCUCCCUCUCCCGGGAGUGGAGGUAACGGGAAAGUCCCUGCUUUUGACCUCCGAUGGGCUGAGGGAAUCCUGCAUCUGCACUUUCAGUUGUGUGACUAUGUAUGAGUGAUUGGAAUGCCCUGGGCCUCAGUUUCUUCAUCUGUAAAGUGGGGAUAAUGCUAUUAACUAGCUAGGAUACUUGUGGGAGUGAAGUGAGAAUUCCAGUUCGGCUUUGAGCCAUAGCACCCUGCUGGCCAACAUGGUAACAACAGCCUGGGACUCCUGCAGGAGUGCAGGGAGGCCGCAUGACCCUGGUGUUCGAGUGCUGCAGCCCAAAUGAGGACCACAUCUACCAGGAGGAGAUGCUGGAGAUGGCCCGGAAGGGGGUGCUGCCUGCGGUGCCCACAGCUUAUUCCUGCCUGCCUGGCAAGCCCAAGGUAAAUGCAGCCUCAAAGCAGGUGAAGCAGUACACAACGCAGGCUCCAGUGUGAGCCCGGGGUCCCCACAGGCCCCUCGCCUCCCUGAGCCUGCAGCUCCUGAGCUCUAAAAUGCAGGUAAUUCACAACCAUCAGAGUGAGGCUGUGAAGACUGUUACGCCCUCUCUUCCAAGAGAAGUGACAGGACCGGACAGGUUCAGGACUAACCUAGGUCACAGGCGGGUUGAGCCCAGAGCCCAGCCUGCUGAAGGUCGUCAGCAGGCCCCCGGGACAGGCGACUCCCCUGAGAGAGGUGGUCCAGGCUGGCUACGUUCAAACCCAGCAAGGCUGGAGGGCGGCCGAUGCUUCCACCAUGGCCCUCAGACGGGCUCAGCUGCCCCCAGGGCCUCUUGCCCUCUGAGCCUGAGGUGUCAGAAUAGACUCUCGGCUCUCACACAUUUGUUGCCAUCAGGGCACCUCUCGGUCCCAGUGCUCUGUGCCCAGUGCUGGGGCCACUGGGCAUCCUGUGUGGAGCAGGAGCAGAGAGUCCCCGACUGACUCCUGGACCUUCUAACUGGGAAGCCUGGGAUCCGUACCCUGCAGGGACCCGAUGGACAGUCUGCAUUGAGAGGGUACUUUUCAGGGGUGUAGGCAGAGCCCUGGGCAGGGGGACUGCCUUCAUUGAUGCCUCUUUGAAGCAUGGCAAAUUCAGAGACAGUCUGGGAGCCCCACUGGACAGUCAGCCCCUUGAGGGCAGGCCUGUGUCCAGCAUUUAUCUCUCUACUCCCAGCCCAGCCCCCAGAGCAUCUGUGCUCCUCCUCAUCCUGAGCCUGGACCUGUGCAAGGUCCUGGCUGGGAGGGGACUCACUCCACAGCCCUUAGUGCCCUCUCCCCACCUCCCUGAGGCCAGCAGUCCUGCCUGCAAUCCUUGUCUCCAGUGGCCGGGAACUGGACCCACCGUUUCCUCUGGUUUUAGGUCUGUGUUCAGGACAUCCUGCAGCAGCAGCUGGCCAGCGAGGUGCUCCGUGUGCUCCACAAGGAGCCGGGCCACCUCUAUGUUUGCAGGGCUGUGUGCAUGGCCUGGGAUGUGGCCCACACCCUAGCAGCUGGUGGCUGCCAAGCUGAACUUGAAUGAGGAGCAGGUCAAGGACUAUUUCUUUCAGCUCAAGAGCCAGAAGCACUUCCAUGACGAUAUCUUUGGUGCUGUAUUUCCCUACGAGGCAAAGAAGGACAGGGCGGUGGUGCAGCCCAGCAGCCUGGAGAUGUCAGCGCUCUGAGGGCCCACAGGAGGGGUUAAAGCUGCCAGCACAGAACUUAAUGAUGGAGGCAGCUCUGCAUUAUCCGAGGUCACAGGGCCUGGGGAGAUGGAGGAAAGUGGUAUCCCCCAGCCUCACGUCUUAUUUCUCACCUCAUUCCCCAUCAAGCCCUUUACUUGACCUCCUACCAAGUAGCACCCUGGAUUGAUCGGAGCCUCCUCUCUCAAGCUGGGGCCUCGCUGGUCCCUUGGAGACGAAAUCUUCAAUGCCAGGCCUGGCAAGUGGGUGAAAGAUGGAACCCGCUGGUGAGUGCACCACUUCAAGUGACCACCAGGAAGUGCUGUCACACCACUGUGUAUUUAACUGCCAUGGGUAAAAUUAUUUAUGCCUCUGUUUAAAAAACGA